GAGUUUGAUCCUGGCUCAGGAUGAACGCUGGCGGCGUGCUUAACACAUGCAAGUCGAACGAAGCGAGAAGAAAGAAGUUUUUCGAAAUGGAUUUUUUCUUUGCUUAGUGGCGGACGGGUGCGUAACACGUAGGUAACCUGCCCUGUGCUUGGGAAUAACUCCGGGAAACCGGUGCUAAUGCCGAAUAAUAUCGCCUGUCGGCAUCGAGAGGCGAUCAAAGAAUUUUGGCACAGGAUGGGCCUGCGCCGGAUUAGCUGGUUGGUGAGGUAACGGCUCACCAAGGCGACGAUCCGUAGCCGACCUGAGAGGGUGAUCGGCCACACUGGAACUGAGACACGGUCCAGACUCCUACGGGAGGCAGCAGUGGGGAAUAUUGCACAAUGGGGGAAACCCUGAUGCAGCAACGCCGCGUGAGCGAUGAAGGCUUUCGAGUCGUAAAGCUCUGUUCCUAUGGGAAGAUGAUGACG
rnacentral:rRNA from 1 species